rnacentral:miRNA from 1 species
UACACUGACACCAGGGGGCAGA